CCUACGGGAGGCAGCAGUGGGGGAUAUUGCACAAUGGGGGAAACCCUGAUGCAGCGACGCCGCGUGAGGGAAGAAGGAUUUCGGUAUGGAAAGCUCGAUCAGCAGGGAAGAAAAUGACAGUACAUGAGCAAGAAGCCCCGGCUAACGACGUGCCAGCAGCCGCGGUAAGACGUAGGGGGCAAGCGUGAUCCGGAUUUACUUGGUGUAAAGGGAGCGUAGACGGUUAGGGAAGUCUGGAGUGAAAGCCCGGGGCCCACCCCCGGGACUGCUUUGGAAACUGUGUAACUGGAGUACAGGAGGGGCCGGCGGAAUUCCUGGUGUAGCGGUGAACUGCUUAGAUCUCAGG
rnacentral:rRNA from 1 species